rnacentral:lncRNA from 1 species
UACCAGGAGGCAAGUGAGCUCAUUAUCUAGUAGUGGUGAGGAGGAGGAGGUGAGGAGUAGAUGUAAGCCGGUGGAGUGUGAACGGGAGGAGUAGGAGGCUUGUAAGGCUUCGUUGGUGGUGGUGGUGGUGGUGGUGGUGACUUGUAGUGGUAUGGAAUGUGGGGUGGAGAGUAGACUGGAGGAGGAGGAGAAGGCGGUGGUGGAGACUUGUAGUGGUAAGGCGGUGACUUGGGAGGGUAGUGGGGGUGCUUAGGUGGUGAGUACACUGGUGGUGUUGGGGAUGGUGGUGGCUUAGGAGGGUAAUGGGGGUGCUUGGGUGGUGAGUACUUGGGUGGUGUUGGAGAGGGUGGUGACUUGGGAGGGUAGUGAGGAUGCUUGGGUGGUGAGUACACUGGUGGUGUUGGUGAGGGUGGUGACUUGGGAGGGUAAUGAGGGUGCUUGGGUGGUGAGUAGACCGGUGUCUUAGGUGGUGACUUGGGGGGGUAGUAGGGGUGGUGAGGUGGUGAGUAGACUGGCGUUGGUGGUGGAGGAGACUUGUAGUGGUAUGGCUUCUUUGGUGGUGGUGGUGAGUGAUGUGGGUGGUAGGGCUUCUUGUGUGGUGGCGGGGGUGGUGGAGACUUGUAGUGGUAAGGCUUCUUCGGUGGUGGUGGAGGUGGUGGAGACUUGUAGUGGUAUGGCUUCUUUGGUGGUGGUGGUGAGUGGUGUGGAUGGUAGGGCUUCUUGUGUGGUGGGGGUGGUGGAGGAGACUUGUAAUGGUAAGGGACCUUCGGUGGUGGCGGUGAUGGAGGAGGAGGAGACUUGUAGUGGUAAGGCACCUUAGGUGGUGGUGGUGAUGGAGGAGGAGGAGACUUGUAGUGGUAUGGCACCUUUGGUGGUGGUGGUGACGGAGGUGGUGGAGAUUUGUAGUGGUAGACAGGUGUCUUUGGUGGCGGGUACACCGGAGGCUUGGGAGGUGACUUGGGAGGGUAAUGUGGGUGCUUAGGAGGAGAGUACACCGGAGGCUUAGGUGGUGACUUUGGUGGGUAAUGGGGAUGCUUAGGCGGCGAGUACACCGGUGGUGUGGGUGAGGGUGGUGACUUUGGUGGGUAAUGAGGAUGCUUUGGUGGAGAGUACACCGGAGGCUUAGGCGGUGACUUGGGAGGAUAGUAAGGAUGAUGGGGUGGUGCGUAGUGCACUGGUGGCGGAGGCGGCGGUGGUGACUUGUAGUGGUAAGGAGGAGAAGCAGGUGGUGGAGGAGAGGAGUAAGGGUAGUUUGCGGAGGUUUGCGAGGCAAAAGCGACUAAUGCCACUAGAAGACUGAAAACUAGAGAGGUCCCCAUUUUCCCCAUCCUUGUGGGUUUAAGAGGAGAUGGAUUUUGGUUUUCUGCUCUAUAUGCGAAGCCUCUACGCCCUUUAUAUAGCUUUGGUGUUUACCCAUCUAAUCAAACUAAGGGUAAAAUAUAGUAAUCAUCAUCAUGUGCCAAAUUUACAUGCCCAAUUAUCAGUCCUCUUUGGUGUAAAACAAGAUUAGCUAGUGUUAAAAAAACACAAAUAGGGGGCCAGCAAGUAUUGACUGGAAAUAUUUUGUUGAUUGAAUUUGAAGAAUAAAACCUAGCUAACCUAUAUAUUAUACAGUGCCAUCUAUCAAAACGAGCAAUUUUUCCAUAGCUUAGUUAAUUAGUUGGUAUAUUUAUUCUCUGGUUUUCAUGAAUGAUUGAGAAAGAGAGAACAAGCUUCGAAAACGUGUGUGGGUUUUGCCCAACUUUUUCUGAUUCUCGCUGUGCCGAGGACCAGGCGGCUUUGCUCUAUCUGGUCUGUCACAGUCACAUUUUGCAUGGCAUUACUCGAAUUUUUUUCUCUGAUUAAUGUUUUGGGGUGGAUUGAAGUGCCUAUUUGCCUUAAUCAAACGUGGUUUAUCACUAAUUAAUCACUUACAAAGACGAAUUAGGUGUCAUAAUUGCAAUGAAUGAUAACUAGAUAUUGUCUCUACUCUUAACUUGUUGUUCCAAACUAGUAGUAUAAACCAAUUAAGUAGAAUUUAUCGUUUAGACCAUUAACAAAGACUAGCUAGCUAUAAGAUCAAAACAAUUCUUUGAAAGGAGAAAAAUGUUAAUUAAACUAGAGUUGAUCGGAAAUGCACUAAUUAAUUUUCAGAUUACUUGGAUCAUCUAAGAAUGAAGUAGCUAGGGAUGCUUUCAUGGCAUAAUUAAGCUUGGGUGCAGUCAAAUUAUAGAAGACUGGUAUGCAUCUUUAAUUUGCCCAUUCACGUCAGCAUACGUACACAUGUAAUUAUCACUACUAUUACUAUGACGCUGAUGUUAGCCAUUUUAACCUAAACUCGUUCACUUUUUCUUCGUACACAAGAAAAUAAUUACACCCUUAGCUAGCUAGCCUUUUCUUCAAAGAUUAAUUGAAAGUUGUAUGACAAUAACUAUAGCAAAAGAUCGAAACAAUUAAUUAAGCAGCAUAUAUUUGUACACACUUCACCUUGUUUAUCUUUUCAUGCAGACAUUGCAUAUGUAAUAACUCAGUUUAACUUUCGAAUCAAGUAAGAUAAUUAAUGGUACUUGCAUGUUCAAUAAUAGAGAUGAAUGAAAUUGGUACACCUAACAAGUUCUACCACAUGAGGGUGAACAUAUUUGUCGAAAAUUUGACAUGGCCGUGAAUAUAUGUGGUCGAAUUCAGUAACAAUUAGUUACGGUCACAUGCUGUAUAGUGUAAGUUUCAAUAUUUACAUGUUCACAGACUUGACGAGUUCUAAUAUUUUCGUCCGUAAGUAUACAAAAUUAUUUAGACGUACGAAAGGAAUGUUACAAUUUCGGGAUGAUGUUAUUUUGGGCAUAUUACUUGACUAUUGCACCAAACAGCAGGACCACAAUGCCAUGAUAAUGAUAAACCGAAUCGUUUUCUUCAUCUUUACCUUUCAAUUCUUUUCAUGUUUUAAGCUACACGAGUACCACGCAACUUUUUCUUUGCUGGUGGGGGAUUCUACUACUACUACAAGUUCCUCAUAUUCACAGACAAAGUUAACUCGAGAACGCCAUCGAUAUACACAAGUAGUUAAAAAGUUGAAAGGCCACAGUCAUGCAUAAUUCACAAUCACUGCUCCGUGGUCCUCUGGCACGAGCUACCUACUGAUGAAGAUGGUACGUGUUAUUUAUACAGAGAUCAUACCUAAAUGUAUACAUCUUUUUUCUUUCUCUGAAUUGGGUUUAUAUCUUACUAAGGUCAAGAAAAUGUUGCUAUCCUAUCAAUCAAUCAAAUCCUUUACGUUGUGAUGUAGUUGUAGUAAAGCAGGUGAAGAGUGAGCCUAUGAAAUAAAACAAUGAAAAGAUUCAUAACUCGGCUCUUUUGACUGUGAAGAAAGAAAACACCAAGUGUGGAAAGAAAGAAGAAAGAAGACAGCUAAGAACAUGAAAACGAAGGUCUCAACUCUCAUCAACUAGCUAGCUAGCUACGACUUUUAGUUUUAGUUUAUAGCAUGUGUGUGUCUAUAUAUAUAUAUAUAUAUAUAUAUAUAUAUAUAUAUAUAUAUAUAUAUCCAAUGUAUAGAUAUUUGCAUAUAAACUCAAUGAACAAAGAUAUAGAUUUCAUACAUGUACCAUAUUUAGUCUAGUAGCAUUAGUCUCUUUUUUAUAAGUGUGAUGUCGUGAGCUCGACUUACGAUAGAUUUCGUUGUAUUCGUUAUAGCAUUAAUUUCAGUUGUUUGUUUGAUAAAAAAAGAUAUAGAUUCGAUUUGUUACGUAUUUAAAUAAGCUUAAAAUUAAUAGUUGACAGUCAGAUUUCAUUGCUAAGCUUAGCUAGUUAUCUUGGAGUGAAUAUGGAAUUCAGAAUUUAUUAUAGCUAAUCACAUAGUAGAGGUCAAACCCUUUAAAGUAUUUGCUAUAUGUUAUGGCUUGUCUAUGAUUUUCUGCAUCACAAAAGUCCUUCCGAUCUUGACAAAAGCUUGUGAACAUAAAUAUAAAAAUUGCAGUCGAUGGGAGUUAGUGAGAUUAGAAAUAAACAAAGCAAAAGAACAGGUGUUGGAAAUUUCUUAAAACUAAAUUGGUCUUGGAAUUUAGAAGGGUUAGCAUGUGGUUGCAGACAAAUCUAAAUCUAGAAGAAGCUCGCUCGCUCGAGCUGCUAGUCAGAAUUGAAAUAAGAGAGGUGGAGAGCUGUGUACGAAGCAUGUGGAGGUUUUGAUAUAUAUGAUUAUAUAGGAAGAAUAAUAGAGCGAGGUGUGAAUAUGCAUGCAUUAUCUCAGAAAUAUUGGUCAAUUUUGCAACACCAUUUUUGAGCUUAAAAUUAACCUCACAGACAUAGAUUUAUACAUGGGCACCGUAUAAUCUCAUUGAGAGUUGGUCCUCUAGUAUAUUAUUGGUUUUGUUUGCCAAACUUUUUUUGUUUUCAUUUUACUUGCUUGUAUUCUUCUAGUACGUAAGGCUUUGUCUGCCAAGUAGCUAUUAUAAUAUAUCGGUCUGUAUAUAUAUGGAAUUGAAUUUGGUUCUUCCAUUAAGGAGAAGAGGAAAAUCUCUCUACUUCUGGUUUAUGAUCAAGAUAUUAUGCAUAGCUUUGCAGGUCUUUGGGGUUUGGCUCUUUCUCGGGGACCUAUAUCAAUCCCUCUCCUAUUUCUUGUUAUUUUUGUAUCUUUGUACUUCGUCGCUUGUACAUAUAUAGAUUCGUUUCGAAAAGUCUACCCCAUUUAUUAGGGGAUCGAUCUCUUAUUCUUCAAGAUAUAUGCAGAGACUAUAGUUUUAACUUUGAAUCUGUUCUUGAUCGAUGAAAAUGAAUAGCCAUCACUGCAUGUAUCUGGAACAGAAAGACUUGUAUAUGAUAACAAGGAGCUCCUGGUUAGGGCAAAUCUACGUUAAUUUUACUUUUCGGUGAUCGAUCAGUUAAAUAAGGAAUCGAUGGAUUUCGUGCAAUGGCAAAGACCCGCAGCUCUCUAAUAAGUUUGAGGAGGUGCUCUAAAGGGGGCAAUAUAUCAAAUUAUCGAUCAGUCGCAUAAUUUAAUUAGGGAAGUUUUGUUCUUUAAAAAGAUUUUAUUCACCGUUUUAUUUCAGUUAUAUAUCAUUAUUUUUAUUGAGAGUCUUCUGGUGUUGUAAUUUCUUAACUUUCUUCCCUUGAUCUAUAUUUUCUAAAAAACAAAAAGAAAAGAGCGUCAAUUGACACAAGUUCGAGAAAAAUACUUGACUAGUUGAGUGAGAGUAAGCGGCGCCGUGAUCCGUCAAAUUCUUAUUUGAAUCCACACAUUUUCAACUAAAGAUUUGCUUUUGAUAAAAAAAAAGAAAAAAAAAGAAGAAGUAAAGAUUUGCUUGUACUUAAUUGUGAGAGCAAAAUAUGUACGAAGAAAAAACAUGCAUAGUGCCAUAUAUAAUUGGCUAAUUAGAGUAUAUGACUAGUGGAUAUGCUAGUACAAUACACAGUACAUUAGAAUAAUACAUAAAUCAUAUAUACCCAGACCAGUGAGCAUCAUAUAGUUGAUUAGUUUUAAUUCAUCUCUCAGUUUCAAUAAAUUUAUAUUAUCAUCAUCACUUGAAAGUCUACUAUAUAUACAAAUAAACCAAUUCUUUCUCUCGCUCUAUUUGUUAUUUCAUAUUUUCAUCAACUCGUACAGUAGGGAAAGUAAACAUGCAUUAUCUUCAAGACUCGAAAGACACCGACAGAUGAAAAGGAAGGCUUUGAAAAUGAAAUGUUAAUUUCUGGCCGGAUCAUAUAUAUAAGCUUGAUCGAAAUCUCAGAAAUUGGCUUACAGUAUGAGGCAUCCAAGUCAAGAGAGAGAGAGCCAAGUAGUGUUGGACUCUAUGUACAAACUAAGAAACGGAGAUUAACAAUUAACAAGAGGGGGGUACAUAUUCAUAUUCAAUUAAUGUAAGAAAGAAUUUGAUGUUUAUUUUGAUUAGAUUAGGGCUAUCAUAUAUACGUGUCUGGUCUGGUCUUGCUUGUAAUUUUCUUCUCAAGAAUAUAUAUCUCAGCUGGAUCUGCAGGACAGUCAGUCGUUCAACUUAGUUAAUCCAAAAUUUCUUUUAAGUAUUGUGCGAGUUGGUUAAUUUAAUUAGGGUAUACAUCAAUGUAUCACCACAUUAAGAAUACCAUAUGAAUCAUGCUAAUUCGAUCUAUACAUUGGUGUGUUCGGAACUUAUCUACUUCAAUCUCUGUAUAUGGAAUCAAGUCUCUCUCUCUCUCUCUCGUUUCCUCCCAACAUUUUCAAACGUGUUGAACGCCGACUACUCUUGUUCUGUAUUGUUCUACCCGUCGUCGUCUCUAGAGUGUGUACCGGCAGUUCAUUGGUAGCUAGCCAGCGAGUUCAGUUUCGGGUCCUCCUAAUUCUAAAACCCCUUCAACUUCGAUCGAUCAGCAUCGAUCGACUCCACACCAAAGUCAAUUAUGAACGGCUUUCACAUCUAGAUGACACUAGAUUAUUUAACUACAAACGACUACGGAUACACGCACUUCUUUAAUUAACGUGUGAUAAAAAUAAAAAAAUAGAAGUACGUGUGAUAAAUCAACGUUAAAGUAUAUAUAAUCAUCUCACUUAAUAAGUACUGUGGUAGUGAGGAUCCGAAACAAGUGUAAUGUUUUCAACUUUUUUGUUUGAUUGGUUAUCUAGUUGAAAAACCUAUUUUCCCAUUCUUUUUUCCUGUAUAAUUUAGGUUACUCAUCAACUAUAUGAUGAAGUGAUAACAUAAAGGUGCUCAUCUCGUACACUUCAGUAGUCAAUGUUAAAUCGCCUAAUUCUAAAAAUGUUAGGCAUAAGCUGUUGAAGAUCCAUGCCACGAAUAGAUUGAAAGCUAUAGCUCGACGUACUAGUAACACUUUGUGCCACGUUAAUUUUGAUCUCGAGAUCUCUCUCGACUCUCUCGAGUGCAUGCAUGAAAGCGAAAACAAAGAAGAAGAAAAAAGGAAAAGCGUCCAAAGCUGAAGGUGCUUUUGUUGGGAUUCAAGGAAGAAGGGUCCCUCUCAGACCCAAAAAAAAAAAAAAAAAAUAGAAGAAGGGUCCCUCGUUGCAUGCAGGAUUUUAUCUUUGCUUCCAUGAUCAACGACAUCUCACAAUUUCAAUUCUGCUACUUGCCUUCAAACUAUUGGUUUCUUUUCCAAAACUCCUAUUCCAAGUUUUGAAAAAAAUCGAAAAUGAUAAAAGACUAUAUACAGAUGGCAACCGGCUGCGCGAGGUCGGAUUCUUUCUUCUCAUCUUCAUCCCCACCACCAUUACUCGUCCUCGUUUGUUAUGGUGGCCUUUCGAAGUUGCAUGAGUUAUAUGAAGAACGUACAGUUGCUUGGUUUAGAUUAAACUGUCGGUAUGAAUCAAUCUUUACUGCUUUCUUUUUCCUUCUUCUCUAUAAAACAACCGUCCUACGCAUGCAGACCAUUUUGUGACGUAUGCUAGUAAUAUAUCACCAUGAUGUUUUGAAUAGAAACGAGGCCAGAUGAGAUGGGGUAUCUGAACAAUCAGAGCGUCAAAACUAAACGAUGAUCCAGACCCCCAAGGCCUCUGGACGACUCGGGAAAUCAUCGAUCGAGAUCGAAGACUGCAACAACGAAGGCAGACAGAAGAAUCAAGAACAUUAGCCUGUGCCUGAGUUAGUGAUCUGAGUAAGGUAAAUGUUGUGAAGUUAGCCUACAGGUAGAAGUAGUAGUAGAGUUUACUCUUUCGUCAAAGAGUGGUGAAGUUUCUCUCCAUGACUUGGAGAGUUGGAGUGUUACCUUAGGCCAUGCACCCGUCUACCUCUCCUACCCAAUACAUCACGUCGCAUUGAAACCUACCUACCAUAUACGAACGCCAGAGACUUGAGUCAUCAAUGGACAAAAGAUCAAAGACGACUUGGACCAAACCCAGGCCUGACAUGUAUCAAACUAAAUUCUAAAAUUAUGCAAACCACUAAACGCUAUUCCCAACUUGUACGUUGUUACAUAGAGGUUAAAACAGUACUGCCUUAACUCUUUGUAACUACCCUCUAUACCUUUUGGUCCUUUUUCACCACACCUUUGUUUUCAGAUAUCCUCAUUGCACCAAACCAUCUUUCCCUCGCUCCCUUCAAUCCCAGUUCCAAAAGGAAGUCAGAUAAAAGAAGAAGGAACAAAAAAUACCAAAUACUAGCCACCAGCACACAUGGUAUGUGAGCUAAGGAGAGGGCUAAGGCUCGUUCUGUUGCCAAAACCUAGCGAUAUUCGCCACACGAUUCACGUCAUAGAGUUCGUAAUAUCACUGUUAAGGAGACGAGGGAUUAUGUCACAAAUGCCAUAUGCGUUUCCAAACUGGUAUUAAUUCACGACCAAUUCAUCAAUCAGCUCCAACAAAUGCAGAUGGGUACAGCCAUAUAAAGAGAAGACAAAGGAAAGAAAGAAGCAAAUUGCUAUGGGAAGGGGUAUGGGGGAGGGUCUAUAGGUAUAGGAUUAUGGGUCACAAAACUUCCAUGAUUGAAGAGGUUGGGUUUCUAAUACUUUAGAAUAACAGAGACAGAGAGGUUCAAGCACAUGUGACAAUGUAAUAGAUUUUAGCAUAGACUAGUCACGCAAGUUUAAAGGCUACUUCUUAGAAGAGGGAGAUUAGUCCCAACUUCAAUGUAAUAAUCACUAUCAACAUAGUGUUGGCACCACUAGCUCACUCCAAAAAGAAGAAAAGAUUAAACUUCUAAUAUGCGUUGUCUUUCUACAUAAGAGGAUAGAAGUACAAUUCUGCUCCAAAAUGACAUUGAUCUACUGAACUGGAACUUACAGACCAGAUAAAAGUACCAGACCUUGCAGACCAGAAAAAAAUACAAGUCUGUUUCAAAAUGACAAAUUAAGAUACAGUAACCUCUUUCCUCAGAAAAUGCAGUAGAAGAGAACUUGACUAAUGUAAGCCCUUUGAUAUCAUUUCUUCUUUUGGGGUAUAAAACUCACAAGAGUAAGAUCCCAACAUGAUCUUAAUCCCAGAGCAGCCGAGUACAAUUAUGAAUCCCUGACAUAUUCUAAACCGUUAGCUAGACUUGGCAACUUGUUGGACAAGACUCCAGAACUACAUGCAAGGCGUUUGAGUUAAUCCACUCCAGAAAGGACAAUAUGAAUCUUCCCAACUGGGGGAGGGGGCCCCUUAAUAUGCAUCUCAAACACAAAAGGCACAAUCCAUUACCAAAAUCUAUGAUUUUUGAAACUCAGCUGCUAAAAUGUUUACAAGAGAAUGAACGAAACCAGUAAAAGUAAGUUAUCCUUUCUAUCUGGUAUUACUUCUUAUCUGUAAAAUUCUUCCUGGUUUCACUGCCUAGAUGCUACAAUGUGCAUUUCCAGUGCUUAUGAUCUCAUGCGUGCCCAAGCUUUAUUCUGUGCAAUGUAAAACAGCCACUCCAGAAAGGACAAUAUGUCAAACGUACAUGUCUAAAUGCAAUCUGCAUUGCUUCUAUAUGGAUGUGUCUCAUGACCUAAAGCCUAUUCACCUCUUACUACGGGUUCCAUGUCCAGACCUUGGACCUGGGAACCGAGAAAACUGCAGCCGCAAGUAAUUAGAAUCGGGAUUGUGUUCAUCCAUUUUAUAGCCUGUGAUUCCAACAACAAUGUUAGCAUCUCCAAGCAUUUCAAAAAACACAGUAGCUUGGGAUAUUAUAGUGAGCACUGCAUCUAGUUUAUACUCAAUAGUUAUACAAGGUUUGGAGAGAGAAAGCCUCAUUUAUAAUUGUUCUUUAAAAUCACAACUAUCCAUCUACAGCCUUUGCUUUUCUUUUUUUUUUUAAUUAUCAAAUUCUUUGAUUAAUGGCCUCAACACUGCUCUUUACACUUAUUGUUCAUGUAAAGUUUUUAGAAUUAUGUUACUGAGGAUAAAAUUGAAUACUGUACUAAUAUCAAUUACAAAGGAACAAAAAAAGAAAAAGAUCAAGGUUGGGGAAGCAUUCAUACUCACCUUGCAAAGCACUCAUGGCAGUUGCAGCGCAGGCUGGAUUUACAAAAUCCACAAAACAGAGGAUAAGAGGAUCACCACCACGCUGCAUUUGGGAAAACAGAAUGUGAAUAAAAGAAGAUUAAAAAUUCAUGCUUCUGAAAUUAAAACCCAAGUGAUACAAAGAUAAUGCUAACUGAUCAAGAAUAAGGAAAACAAGUCUAGAAACAUCCAUGAUCUACAUACAAGUUUGGACUCUUUGCUCACAAGCCUCACUUCUUUAUAUCCCACAAAGGGGCGAAAGAUAUCUUGAAAAGUUGUAAAGGAUAAAAUCAAGUGAAGAAAAAUAUUUUACAGAACUAUUGAGUUAAAAGUUUUAUAUUGUCCAUGCAUCAUAGGUUAAAACAUAAGAUUGGGAAAAGAAAGAUCCCUAUUAUUCUCAGACAGCAUGAAAACAUCAUAAAGGAUACGAGCUACUUCCCUCCUUGUGCUGUCAGGAGGAAGCCCUUCUAUGUAUAAAGUGUUGGUAGCAUCUGGGGGUAAAGGAGCUGUUUCAUGUCCAGGUGCUAGUCUAGAUAUUGCAUCCACUGGGAGCUGAGCAAGACUAAUAUUUCGACCACUAAUUAAAUCCGAAGCAACAGCACCAGGGCGACCCAUCAAAUGAUCAGCCAUUCCAUUGCCAACAGGCCUCCCCAAUCCAACUCCAACCAUGGUAGUUGAAGACAUUUGCUUCAAAAGCGAAUAGGAUGAAUGUCUCAGUUUAAAUUCAUAAAGAUAUGACACAAAGUAAAGUAAACAUAGUUCAAAUGCUUAAGGAAGUCACCCCAGUUUGAAGAUAACGGUCAUAUGCAGAUCCAAUUGAUUUUGUAUCCUUUACAGCCCUAGGACCACCAAAAUCAUCAUCAUGUGCUAAAUAGUUAUUCAUCUCAUGACCUGAAUACAGACCAGAAGUUGGGAGGUCUGUUUGAUGGAUUUGAAAACACAGAAAAGUAAUGCUUAGUUUUGGAGGUGAGCAACUACUGAUCACAUAAAGAAAGCAUGUAAAACAGCAGACAGAACGGACUAAUCAUGAACUUAUUCAUAUAUCAAAAUUAGACAGAUGUAGCGGACAAUCCAUCUAACAGGAUAAAGCAAGGCAUCCAUCUAUUAAAUUUGCUCUACAGGCGGUAGAAACUAAGAGAUUAGCCUCUAAGCGGUGAUUGAACAGUAAACUUCUAUUAGGUUAAGACUAAAGGAAACAAAGCAUCUGGAAACAACUAUAUGACCUGUGAUGAUUACAGUUCUGAAAGUGAAUCAACAAACAUACAAUAAGUAUUCAAAUGAAAAUGAAUGAAAAAAUGGAUAUGAUAUCCAUCUAAAGUUGUAACAUCUUCACAUUAAUCGAUUUGCAAUGCAUGUGUAUGACCAAAAUGCGUACCAUCUCAUGAUUGUGAAGAAAAGAAGUCUACUAGAUACCAAUUAAUAUGUGGAGCGAGAUCCCAAAGAAAAGAAACAACAGUCUUGAAUUACCUUUUAAAUUUUUAAAUUUCAGUGAAUUAAAAAUAUCAAUACCGUCAACCAGUCUUCUCACAAAAACAUAUUUUAACAAGUGAAAACAUCCAUUCACUCAGACUGCCACGUAAUAAUUUAUAUGCUCAUUACUGAUGGUUCUAGAAAACUAAGUACUUGGGAUCUGGUUAGAUAGGAAGUUAACCUCAACAGAUAAUAAAAGCAGAGGAUUGCUAACAGAAUAGGUCAUGAUCAUGAAAAUAUACAAGCAGCAUGGCUUUAUAUUGUUAUUGAGAUGUGAAACUUAAAGUUGAGAGGUUUUAUAUUUUAAGAUGAAAGCAAACACAAGAAUGAUAAAAAAAAAAAGACACAAAAGAAAGGGACAUAUCGAUCACAAGAGAAUCUGGAAAUCUGCCAGAAACUAAAGACAACCCAAAGACAGAGAAAAAUCAAGAUAUAUAAGAAAAGAAUGAAAGGUACAUCCUCAAAAAUAGAAUCUAGAAAUGUAUACCUGACAAUGAAAUAAAGAAAACCAGAAUCAUUAAAUUUUGAAAAGUAAAUUUUGAAAAGAAACUCUUAGUCAGAGUCAGAGAGAGGGACUCUUCUCAUAAAACUUACAAACCAAACAGUAUCCAUAUCUUCUCAGAAAAAUAGAAAAAGAAAAAAGAACAGUAUCUACAUAUUCGACCCAAAAGAGAACACCAGUUACAUGUAAAAUAUUAAAUUAUCAAAGUAAAAAAGCUCAAAGUGAUCAGCAAAAGAUCCCUUGUUAUCUAUAUGACAAAUUUACAUUUCUCAUGAAAGAAAUACAAACAUAUAAUGAGCACAUUAUGACAUAUGAUAAUAUGAAAAUAUCUACUAAUAUUUCCAUGACAUGCAUGAUUGAUAAGCAAAACCAAAUAACAUAGAAUCAAGAUCAAAACCUUAAAUAUAUUAUAGACGUGUAUACAAAUUGUUAACGAAAAGGUAUACCAAAACUUUGAGAAUCUUGCAACAGUGGUAGUCAUAAUGGAAACCAAGAUUUUGAAACCUUGCCAUACAAAAGCCGUGAGUCCCCCAAAAGAUAUACAUUGCUACAAGAAUUUAUUGUAAUGACAGUAACUAAAUAUCCUAACUAGAAUAUUGAAAUCAUUUGCAUCACCCCACCUACAUCUUUCUUUGCUCAGAAAGUCAUGAUUUCCCAUAUUGAUCUAUAACAGAAUAGAAGGCUCAAAACUGUCAAACCGACUAAGAUCUAAUUUUAUCCAAGUUAAUAACUCAGCUGGUUUAGUGUCUACAUCCCGAAAUCCAAAAUAACUAUAGCGAAGGUAAGGUAAAUAACAAAAUCUUUAGCUUGAAGAGCAAGAAUAGAGAAUAACGAAUCAUACAGUCCAAUAAACAGAUAUUUAUCAGCUUUCCACAUUCUAUAAAACGAUUCCAGGCUUAGUUAAGUCAUACAUCACCCAUAAGGCCUUAAACCAACUCUUUACAUAUUGACUACUCUGCUUCUGAUAGAAACCUCAACCAAAGAUAAGCCAUAUCAUCCACUCGUAAUUUCCUUCGAACUGCUUAACAAGUACAGAAUACACAUUCUUUAAUGUUUCUUGUUACAAGAGUUCAUAACAAGCACACCGUCUCGCAACACAAAAUACAAGAACAAUGUAGCCCCCACAAGUUCCAAUUUUGGCAAAGUUUGAUUAAAGUAUGAAAGACCAAACCAAUAAUCAUCAACCCACACAAUAAGCAUCCUAUAACAAAACCAAACAAUGCAAGCCAAUCCUUUCAAAAAACAAAAAACAAAAACAACAAUGCAAGCCAAUAAGGAAGCAGAUUAAAAUAAACAAUAGAGCCAAAUUGAAUAUCAGGAAGUGAGUGUAGGCUAAUCAAUAGAGGGUGGUACCGUAGUCAGAGCGGGGUCGUUUUGCGGCACCGGACGGAAAAAGUUGCAGCUGCGGGUUCCAGAGGCUGUCCGCCAUAUUUAAUUUUUCUGCGGAACUCCAAAUUUGUAAAGAAAAUGUGGACCAAUCUGAAUGAACAAGAAGAACCCUAAUAAGAAUUUCAGAGAUUCUUGAUGCCAAACUUGUUGUACGCUUCAACUCGCCGAAAUAACAACUCGUCCAAAUUUCAGUGUUCAGAGAUCCUUCUAUAUAUAUAGUCAUUUUUUUUUUUUCAUAUAUCAAGGAUAGUUUGGACAAUUUAUCUGGUAAUUUUUUUUAAAAUAUGAAUUUUUAUUCACAAACAUCUAAAUGGUUAUAAAACUAAAAACUACGUUUCUAAUCAGAAAAGGACAAGAUCAUUCCUAAUCAGUAUCCUUGUUCCUUGUGUGACCAAGAUUUGCAAGGGCAUUUGUCGGAAAACUAGCUUCACAAAAAACAUAGAUUGCUUCUAAAAAUAUUUAUAUACCCAGCAUUUAAUCAUUUUCCAACUUUACCCUAAUUUUAAAAUGCAAACCUAGCAAUCUAAGAAACACCAUCAUCGAGUAAAAGAGCAAGCAAAAAAACAAAACUAAUCCUUAUGCACUUCCAUAGACUACUUUUAAAUUCAUCUGUUGGUGUAAAUAUAUACAACCAAUAUUUUAUUGCAAUCAUAUUGUUGUUAUUCCUUUUGAUUCAGUUGAUACAAUUUGUCUGCGACUUGUUGGUUACCUUGACAUGCACCAGAUCUUUUAUUUUUAGUGGUAGCGUUGCAUAUAUCAUCAGUAUGAGCACUUUAUUAGGCAUCAAGCAUUGGGGUCUCUUUAUCUGUGGUUCUCUAUCCUUAAUUAUACUCUGUGAAGUUGAAAAUGAGGAGCCGCCGGAGUGGAGAAGUAUCAGAACAAACCCGGUCAACAGUACAACAGAUGGGAAGAGAGAUCGUCACCCAUAAAAGAUGCAACAUGAGAUCUUAUAACAAGAUUAAUGUUCUUCUUAAUCCCAACUCUUAGUUUUUUUUUUUUGUGGCCAGAACAUGGACCGGAGAACUCUCUAAUCCCAAUUUAUUAAGAAAAAGGAUAUAAAGUACAACCAACAAGAACUCACAUAAGAACACAAAAGAAUACAUAUGUCAAAGACAUCAUAAACAUACCAAGUUGCUUAACAAGUGCAUAUCCCAAAUCUUAGUUACGAUGAUGGAGAUGAGAUUUAGGUUUUGCCGAUUAUAUGUUUCGGUCGGUUUGAAUACGUAUAGUGUUUGCUGGGUGUGUUAAAACAAAGGAUAAAAGUAGAAAGUUUGGUCAAAAAGUGUGGUGUUGGGUAGAUUUAUAUAUUUGAUGGGUAAUAGUUAUUUGCUAGGUACAUUUAAAAAUACCCAAUAAAUCUUGAAAGAGAAAUUUUGAUAAAUAACAUCUUUUAGGUGUUGGAAUUGAUUUCUAACCAUAUUUUAUAAAUAGUUGAAAAAUGACCACUUCAAUGAACAUAAAGUCUUAACUGUCCUUAUUUGAUUUUGUAUAACUCAUAGAUCUUUUCUUUUUAUCUCUCUCAAUGGCUUUUCUGUUAUUUUUUUUUUAACGAUCGGUAGUUCCUAGUAGAUACAUAAGAGAAAGCCUUGAACAUUUGAAUAUCUUCAAAAUAAUUGAGCCUCCAACAAUCGCAUUCACAUUUAACAUGCAAUGUAUCAAUUCUCACUACCAAAAAGCAAUCUUGGAUCAAAGCUAUAACUUAAAGUUCACUACUCAAUAAUUGCGUUGUAUAAAUCAUCAACCACAAUUGCAUUUAAGCACACGGAAGAGUUAAACCUAGAAAUUGAUUGCAGUGAUUGAAUCAUGAUUACUAAUGUCCCCUUAUAAUUGGCAAUUUGGCAUAUCAUUUCAUUUUUCAAAUUCCAAAGAGAAGAAAUCCCAACGAAGAGGAAACGCUUCGCAUUUGAUCUCAAUAUAUUUUCUUGAAUCUAAUCUUGAAUAAAUGUUGAUGGAGGUUUAUAAAAAAAUAAAAAAUAAAUAAAAAAGAAGAAGAAGACGAAGAAGAAGAAGAAGGAGAAAUUUAAAUGAGGGUAUAUGAGAUAGAGUUUUGAUCCAUUGAUAUGGUUAUUCUUCAAUUGUUUGUAAAAACAUGGUUCAAAAUCAAUUCAAGCACCUAAAAGAGGUUAUUAACCAAAAUUUCUCAUGCUAAAAAGAGCAACUAUAUAUCAAAGCAUUCACAAUUUUGCUUGAUGUCUUGAAUCAUUGUCUCAAGUGUUCAAGAGACAUGCAACACGUUUCAAUUAGCUACAAAGAAAAAGAAGUAUAAACCCUUAAACCUUGACCUUAAUUGCUUGAGAGUUUAGUUAACAUGCGCAGUACUAUAGAAAGAGUAUCUUGAGAGCUUACUUAACAUACACACCUACUAUAUAAAUAUUAUCAUUUGCUUGCUCCUUCGUAACAUAGUGAAUGUUGAUCUCAGAAAUCUUACUUCACCUAGCCAUUGUUGUAAUGUCAAUGUAUCUAUAGCAUUUUCUCACUGAUCAAAAACACAAAACAAAACAUGAUUCAUUUACCAAAAAAAAAAAGCCUACAAACAAACACAUGAAUGACCAUGCGCCAACCCCUCGAAAUAAUUUUUCUUCACUCUAACUUCCACCAAAUUCGAGUUCAAUGCAAAACCUUAUCACAACCCCAUCCACCGGCAACACAGAGCUGAAGUUUCUCAGCCUAUUAUGACAAAGCAUUUUGAGAAGGAUAUCGACAAUCUAGAUCUAACAAAACCUUCAAAAGGGUAGUACAGUACACAACAAAGAUCUCGGUCUAAGAAGACCUCUAAAGGUUAGUGGAUCAUACAUCAAACCUUAUGAUCGAUUUCAAUUAACUUCAGUUCGUGCUACAUUAUCUAACAACAAACCCUUAUUUUAUAGUAGAUCAAAUUCAAUCAUAGGUAGAAAAGUAUUACAUUCACUGAAAGGUGGAGAAACACUAAUGAAAUCUAUUACGUUAUUUUCUGAUUUUAUUUGGAAUUAUGAAUAUCAAAUCCCGAGCUAUAUUCCAUGCCUCCAAUACCAACUGGAGUUCUUCCGUAAUAAGAAAAGUGUUAAAACAUAAUGUAUAUGAUAAAGGCUCUUACGUGUUUGGAAGAAUGCCAUAGUAUGAUUGAGGCUGAGAAGGGUGAGAUGAGAGCCCUCUAUCAAGACAAAAAAGACGAGUUCGUGGCUGAGAUGAAGCCAAUUGCUGGCGGCAUGCUGAACCAGAGGACCGCGUCCAAGCUUCUGCAUCUCUAUUGUCGAUUCGACUAAACCAAAUACGCCUCCGCAAUUCUCGACGGCGAGCUCGGGAAGGUUCCACCGCUGGUGAAUGAGUUGGAUGAAGACUCGGGGAGAUCUCAGCUGCACACGGCGGCCUCAGCUCACGCGUGGCGAUGCAUGGAGGCGUUGCUGAAGAAAUAGGCUUGUACUUAUAAGAAAGGCUCUUACGUGUUUGGAUGGAUGCCAGAGUGUGAUUUCCAGUUGCAUCACUAUAUGAGUUCCCGAUACCAUGAUGUGUUGUUGUUCAAAAGAACUGAAGCGACAUAUAUAUAUAUAUUCAAGAUAUUAGUACUCGUGAAAUCGCUGUUAAUGACACACAUAUGCAAAAGAAUGAUCUUGUGAGAUUAAACAGUAGAGAUUGGAUUAGCUUUGGGGUUCCAGCUCGUUCAUAUCGUUUCCUACUCCUAAAGCCAUGCGAAAAAGAGCCUAGCAAGCUCGGCGAUGAAGCAGCUAUCGCUGAUGCUCAUGAGUCGGUGAAACGGCUACUGCUGAUACCCAUAAUCGAGUAAAGGUGAUCAAGUGAAAUGGAAAGGGUACAGGAAGAAAGACAUAUGUCAUGUAUUUUUUUUGUACUGCAUAGUGGAAAAGUGCAGUAACUUUGCCUCAUUAGAUCACAUCAUUGGAUUUGUGGAGGGGCACUUUUGCUUGCUCUUUCUAACUUUUGAGAGUUAAACCUUAGUAACAUAUGUAAAGGGGUGUUAGUUAGUUAAUAUAUAUAUAUAUAAACGGAAACGAUACAGAGUGCACGUGCGCAAGUGCGUACGGAGGUCCGUUCGCCACCGUCCAGCGCCGACGACGGGGUGCCGACCCCCCAGCAAACUCCAGCAGCGUUCCCGAUCACUUUCCCUCCCCGGCGAGUCCGCCGAAUUCCAGUUUCCGGCGAGAUAAUUCCAGUUUCCGUAUAUAUCGACUUUAUUUGAAUUUUUGGGUGAUCUCGCCGGAAAACUGGAUUUCGGCGGACUCGCCGGGGAGAGAAAAUGAUCGGGGAUGUUGCUGGAGUUCGCUAGGGUGGAGGCGCGCUGUCGUCGGCGCCGGAUGGUGGUGAACGGAGCUCCGUGUGCACUUGCGGACGUGCGCUCCAUAUCCGGCCUCAUAUAUAUAUAUACAUAUAUAGACAUUAGCAGGUGCGGAUAUCCCUCCUUUCGCCACCGUACGGCACCGGCGAGCACCGGCGAGGGCGCGCCUNNNNNNNNNNNNNNNNNNNNNNNNNNNNNNNNNNNNNNNNNNNNNNNNNNNNNNNNNNNNNNNNNNNNNNNNNNNNNNNNNNNNNNNNNNNNNNNNNNNNNNNNNNNNNNNNNNNNNNNNNNNNNNNNNNNNNNNNNNNNNNNNNNNNNNNNNNNNNNNNNNNNNNNNNNNNNNNNNNNNNNNNNNNNNNNNNNNNNNNNNNNNNNNNNNNNNNNNNNNNNNNNNNNNNNNNNNNNNNNNNNNNNNNNNNNNNNNNNNNNNNNNNNNNNNNNNNNNNNNNNNNNNNNNNNNNNNNNNNNNNNNNNNNNNNNNNNNNNNNNNNNNNNNNNNNNNNNNNNNNNNNNNNNNNNNNNNNNNNNNNNNNNNNNNNNNNNNNNNNNNNNNNNNNNNNNNNNNNNNNNNNNNNNNNNNNNNNNNNNNNNNNNNNNNNNNNNNNNNNNNNNNNNNNNNNNNNNNNNNNNNNNNNNNNNNNNNNNNNNNNNNNNNNNNNNNNNNNNNNNNNNNNNNNNNNNNNNNNNNNNNNNNNNNNNNNNNNNNNNNNNNNNNNNNNNNNNNNNNNNNNNNNNNNNNNNNNNNNNNNNNNNNNNNNNNNNNNNNNNNNNNNNNNNNNNNNNNNNNNNNNNNNNNNNNNNNNNNNNNNNNNNNNNNNNNNNNNNNNNNNNNNNNNNNNNNNNNNNNNNNNNNNNNNNNNNNNNNNNNNNNNNNNNNNNNNNNNNNNNNNNNNNNNNNNNNNNNNNNNNNNNNNNNNNNNNNNNNNNNNNNACGUAGUAUAUAUAUAUAUAUAUAUAUAUAUAUAUAUAUAUAUAUAUAUAUACAGGGCCCUUCCAAUAAGGGAUCCCUAUUUUUUGUCACUUUUAGGGAUAAACCUACACCAUUAGAUCUGUUUUUUAAUGGGCUUUGAUGAAUGAGAUUAAAACAAAAAACUUAACACUUAUGUCAAACCUACACCGUUCAAGAUCAUUAAAAAUAAAUCAAACAUUUGGAUGACUUAAUGAUCACCAAAUUUUCUGAAAAUUAGCAGAAGUGAUCUACUCAUAUACACCUACAAAUUGAACAGUGGAGAUGUGAUUUUGUGAUUGGGAAGUUUGUCAAAUACCUUAUCCCUAGAAAUAAACAAAAAAAGGAUCCCUCAUUGGAUGAGCCCUAUAUAUAUAUAUAUAUAUAUAUAUAUAUAUAUAUAAGGAUCUGUUGAAGGAAUUUACAUUCCUAUCCUUGAUAAUGUGUCCUGACCGAAUCUUCUCCUUAUUAGACUAGAAUAUCUCUUAGAUAUCUAUCUCUGAUUUACAGGGAUUCUGUAUGUAAUGCCUAUAUAAAGACCAAUCUAUCAAUGAAUGAGUAGACCAUUAAUUAUUCUCGUAUUCACAUACUCUUUAUCACGUUAUCAUGCACUUUGUUCUAACCCUAUAGCCAAUAACCCACCAUUUGUUUUUCGAAACCCUAAAAGCCAAAAGAGUCUCUUGCAUCCUCUAUCCAACCGCCGCCGCUGUCCGCUCGCUUCCCCGGCCACUGUUGUCCGACAACCUCCAGCAGCAAAUCUUCCAGCUGCCGUCUGCCAUUGAUUCUUGGCUUCCUUCAGCUUAAUUUUUCAGCUUUUUCUUUCAAAUUUUGAAAGUUUUUAUAGCUUAUAUUUAUAUGGUGAAUAUGGCUAACCAUAUAUUUUGUUUUCCAUGACAUAAUCACGCGACGAAUCACAAGGAAUUACGCGAGCAACUUCGCUGCAAGCACGUGGAAUUAAGCUUGAAAAAUUGCAAAGCAGCUCCUAUAAAUGCAGUUUAUUUAGCAAACUACCAAGUAAGCUUUAAUAUUACAGUUAUUUACUUUUGAAUAACUCGGGGGGAUAAAAUCCUUUCUCCUUUCUCCAUCUCCAUUCUAUGUUUGGGAUUUUGUGAGUGCAGGUAAAAAUCCCAGAAUUUUAUUCGCGGGCCAAGAAGUGUGUUUUGAUCACUCUUGUUUCUUUGUCCAGGUUAUGUGUGAUCAUCCCUGACCUUUCUCCGAAUUGUGUUUGAUCAAUCCGAGGCUUUUUUUUAGAAUUGUGUUUGAUCAAUUUACGGCUUUUCUGGAUUGUGUAUGAUCAAUCUGAAGGACAAACCAUUAAAAACAUUGUUUGUGACCUCUAUGGAGUCUCAUAACAGUUUGGUUUUGUAUGCAAGAGUAAUGUAACAUUCUGCUCCUUUGAGUUUUGACGUACUCGAUGCCUAAGGCGAAUCUUCGCUUGGUAUCUGUGGAACCUUUCAUUGGAAAGGAUUAAACCACAUGUUUUGACCCCUAGGCUAACAAGCCUAGAUGCCGAGAUUUCACAUCUCAUGUGUUCAAAGUUUUUGACGUGCACAUCGACAAAAGCCUUCAAUAACAAUCUGUGCAAAAAGUAAUGACCACAAAGUACUGUGGAAUGCACUUAUGGAGCGUUUCUUGAAACGUUCAUCUAACUUGUUGAGUUAUUAAGUCAAGUGGAUUGCUUACCACUUUAAUUUACUACAUAUGGUCGAUGAUAUUUUGUGGCAUCAUGUUCCAUAAUCUUUAGCGGAUUCGAUCAUCAUCAAGUUCUCUACGCCCUCCAAGUUGGUUUGGAAUUACCAACGAGACUUGAUUUUGAUCAUACAAUUGCAAACGAGAAUUGUAUAUACGCUAAUGUGAUAAACGUAUUUGGGAUUGUCCCCUAAUAUGGGGACAACAAUAUGGGUCACGGCAACGGCAUUUCACGGCAACGGUAUAAAAUGCUAUGCCGAUGUCUAGAAAAGAGGGGGAGGUGUCGCCGGCCCUAAUGGACCGGCGACACUCCCGAUCUAGACAUCAAUCUGUCAAAACUACUCGUGCCAGCUCCGAACAAUAACAAUGCAACCGUAUGGAUCUCCAGAUCACUGGUUGAGGAGUUGUCGAGCUCAUUCUCAAAUUAUGAAUGCAUACAAAAAGGUACGGAAAAUCAAUAUGAGGACAAGAACGUUAUCCUCAUGAUCGCGGAUUUCAAAGAUUCGGAUCCAGCUCUAGCUACCUCUGACUUUAACGUCAUCGGCUAAAUCGACUUUGAUUUUCUUUCCAAGCUAUAUAUAAUAAGAUGUCGUAUUUAUGUCUUUAUAUUACUCGAGACCUCGAUGUACUCACCUUAGCAAUAAUGAAUGCUUUGAGAAUUUUUUCGAAGUUAUGAAACUAUUUUCCUCUUAUGGUUCGUAUUGAUUUACAAACAAGAUGUACAGUUUUACAUCGUCCUUAGAAGCAUGGCAUAUUUACAAUCUACAUGGUUAGAUUGUGCCGUUUUGGUCUCUUCCAAGUGAAGAUGACGCACGGCCUUGCAUCCUCAAGGAGGAUCGCCCAUGUGUUUUCCGGUUAAGUCUUCUACCCUAUAGCGGAUUUUCCAUAAUCAACUGUUCAACUAGGCUCAUCCAAGCUCAGUGUGAUGUCUUAGAAUUGUCCGAAAUUAAGGAGAUAGUGGUUUCAAGUGUGCCUCGCACUACCGACCAUUCACUGACAUGCCUGGUCAUACUGACUUGGAGUUACCGAAAGCUUUUGAUUUUGGAUCCUCCUAUGCUAUUAAACCAAUUUCCGUCUUGCAAAAAGACGUUGAAGACUUAUCAAAACCAGACAACAAUCAUCAUAAUCGAAUCCUCUAGGUCCUCUGAAUUAGUUUAUGUUCAUGUCUGGAAGCUUUCGCUAACUAGUCAUGGAGUUUACGACCUUAGAAAGACUAAAAGGACUUGAUUUUGAUCAUAUACACAUCAUUUUGGCUUCGGCUUAUGCCCACAUGCCAUCCGCAAGCUUCAAAGCUUUGCCAAUGCCAAAUCUGCGAAAAACAGCAUUCUUUCCCUUCUAAACUGUCAACUUCGUUUGAGCUUUGUGAGCAGCUCCGAACGAACUAGAUAGUGAGUUUUAUAUCGUUGGAAAGCUCUACGAGUCUAGUUUUCAGAAUCUUUUGUGGUUUGUCCAUAUCUAUUUUAACGAAGACGUUAUGGCUGUUUUAGUGUGCAAAAGUCAUUCUGCGCGGAAAAUUUUAAGCACUCUCGGGAUUGCAGUUUUUUGUAGAUUCUUUCAAUCCUUCUAAAUGGUUCAAGUGAAGCUAUUUACUCUCCUAUCUACUUCAUUUUGUAGAUCUAUCUCAUAGAGACAUCGAGUGUUUCGCAGAUAGUGGAACAAUCCACAACAUUCUAAAGAACCGGCAACUAUCUCUGAAUUUUGUGCCUUGUAAAUCUUCUGUGACUACAAUGAUUGAAUCAUACCGGUCAUUUAGGGACGCGGUUUAGCUUGAAUCUUGAUGCCUCAUGGCACCAUGAUCAAUGUCACAGAUGCCCUCUAUGCAUUGAGAGGCAACCGAACCAUAUUGAGCUUUAAAGACAUUAUUGCUAAUAGUUUUCAUUUGAAAACACAUUGUGAGAAUGAAUAAGAGUUCUUUUGUGUAUACCUUCUCAUAAAUUCGGACUGAAAUGCAUAUGAGAGAAGUUUAUGAGUCAAUCUAGUGGACUGUAUGUCACUAUGAUUCGAAUAUCGAAUCACAUGUUGUCGCCAAACAUGAUAUUUGGGACACCGACUCAUAUAGACUUUUGUUUGACCAAAUCGGUCAUCCUGAAAGAGAUAUAAUGGUCCAAAUUUUGAGAAAUUCUCAUGGACAUCCAUCCUUCCACUCAAAACAAAGACAUUUGAGAUCUAGCUUCAUCAUGAAGCAUGAUGGUGACGCCAUAGUUAUAAAUGGCGGCACCCGGGGGACAUUGACUUCACUCGAACUUCACCCGAACACGACUCCAACUUCCUAGAAGCCGCCCGGUCAAUUUCUCAAACAAUUGAGGUGCACAGGCCUUCCCUUGAUGUCUCAUUGGCCCCUUACAAUGCUCAUUGCUCGUUUCGAAAGCCUAUUCUUUAGCUAAAUUAGGAGUGAGACCCUCCUACGUUAAAUGACACAAAAAUGAACAUUCUAUUCUUACAUCAAACUAUGUAGAUAGAUACAACCAACUUGCGGACACAUUUUUAUGUUUUAUGGUGUUGGUUGAAGUGUUAACACACUGGUCACGUGUUACACUAUUAUCUACUCUUUAUGCUGCUUAUGCUUUUACGGGCUCACUACCCAUUCUUUAAAGAAGUUUAUCGGGAUAUAAGUUGAAGUGUCAUGUACCCCAUGUUCACACGUAAUAUGGUCUCACCGAGGCUACGACCAAGCAACUUUAGCUUGUCGCUCGAACAUUAUUGAUGCACACCAAUCUUUCUAUUACGACUUAGGGCUAUGCAAUAUUUGCAUGCAACUUUACUAUUCAUCUAUGACCCACCAUCAUUGAAUAUUUUUGUACUACAGCUCGUGACUGUAUACAAGGAUUGACACGAAAUUGCAAUCCUUGAGCUCAAACAUGAUUGAAACGGAUCUCCAAUCUUUGAGCUCGGCUAGAUAUUAUUUCUAGGUGCCAAAUCGCAUUGCUACUGCGUAUAAUGAUGGGUCAUUUGAGAUGAAUAAGUAUUUAAGUUUAGGUUGGAUAUGAACCUCCACCUAUAAUCCGCCUAUGUAGAAACCUUGUCAGGCGAACUCUUUAACCGCUAUAUUGCGGAUUGUCACUUUGAUGAGACAAUAUUCCCGCCGUUAGGGAGAGAUAAGUGGAAUGACGUGAAUUGUCGUGGUUUGUCCCCACUAAGUCUCAUCUUGAUCUCAAAUGCUUAAAGUGUUAAAUUGACGAGAUCACAUGCUGCAAAUAUGUCUGCAAGGAUCGAUGUCUUACAAAAGGACAUGGCGAGACCAAAAAGAGUUGGUCUUGACGCCAUCACCAUGGAUGGUGAUAUGGUGACGCCAUAUAGUGGCAAAAUUGGUGUCACAAGGCCGUGUGGCUCCCCAAAAAAAGGGAGGCUCUUAGGUUUGAUACUUUCUCUCAUUAGGCAGAAAGUGAGCUUGGCAAAACCUGAUCCAUUGAUCAGUGAUACUCAAAUCCGUCUCAUGAAGUUUGGAUUGUGAUUAUCGUUAGGGGAUGCCUCAAUGUCAAAUCCAAUCCAUAUAGAGAUCUCUACGAGUAUUACACUAGUGUACAUGAGGAUGUAAGAUAAUGAGUCUACUAUCGAACCACCCUUUGUUGAUGAAUAUCCACUUAGUUGAUUGGCCUAAUGGAAAGAUGCGAUCUAGCAUAACAAAGAGAUAGGUCCUUGAGCAGGUGAUGUCGACACCGCAAGGUAAACCCUAUCAACUGUGUCUUUGUUAGAUUGCUUAGUGAGAACAAGAGUUUAGACUCACCUUAUGACGCAAGGUCUCUCACUAACAUGCACUGGGAUCGACUACAAUGAGAUAUGCUCUUGUAAUGGAUGUCAUUGCACUCCACUACUUUGUCAGUUUGGUAGUUUCCAAAUAACUGAACAUGCAGCCUAUGAAUGUGGUCAUAAUAACAUCUCUAUUGGAUCAGAGAUAUACAUGAAGGUUUUAAAUGGACUUCAUUCAUCCGAAUCAAGUUGCUCCAGACCAUAGGAGCACGCGUUUGCUAAAGGUAUUUAAAUGCACAUGGACUCUACUUGAUUUGGAAGGGAUAUGGUGAAAUUAUGCCUUUGUGUGUUCAUUCCAGAUUUACAUGGACUCUUGAUGGAUCAAGAGAUGCCAAUAUGUAUCAACAUCCGAGGAAAAAGAUCUUAGGAAGACACGGUCUCGAUAAGGCACUCGAUGACUGUAUUGAUGACGAUUUUUCAUCAAUUGGCUUAGGCGCUCUAUAACUAGUGAGGCCUACAUAUACUCCCACGAUUAGUCAAAGUCUUUGCUCUAAAGAGAGAUCCGUUGUUAUUUUGUCUAAGAAAGAUGACAAAUAUGUGUUAAGAGAUGGAGUUCCCAUCUAAGUAUAAUAAGACACAUCAAUGUACUCAACACAAUACGAAGGACUUGACAUCUCAUUCGUUAUGAAAAGUUGUAAAGCUAAGUGUAGCUAUGCGCCCAUGUAACGCUAAUGUGAUGGCAGGUACUCCUUUUUUAAUACUUAAUGGUAUGAAAGGUUGAGGCUUAUUCUAUCCCUACAUAAGAAAGACACAUCAAAAGCGAAAUCAAAAUUUGCUAAGUUUAGUAGGUCACAUUCCACGGGACCUAUAAUCUCACUCACUAGAAAAUGGUGAAAUUGGUACCAUUGGAAAGGUCUAUGUGUCUACUUUCCAGGGACACCAACCAUUUGAUCAUACCUAUCAUAUUGAGUGAGUUAUGUCUGUUUUCGUAAAGUAGGACGAAUCUGUCCGAGAAUCUGAUUUUGGCAAAACAGUCAACUUCGACGGGACUUUGUGAAUAGCUGCUGACGAACCAGAAUGUGUGUAAUAUACGGUUGGAAAGCUAAAUGAGUCUAGUUUGCAAAACCGUUUAUGGUUCAUUCAUAUGUAUUUCCUAGAGGAAGUUAAGGCUGUUCUAGUAACUGAAGGUCAUGCUGUGCGGAAAUCUGAUUUCAUGCACGAACUUAUGUUUUGAGUUCACAAGCGGCCUUCUCCUCAAGAUCUAAGUGUAAAAGAUCAUGUUUGAGGACAAUUCAGCAUGAUCAAGAUAAUCAUUGUCUAAUGCCACAUUUGAAGACAUGUUAAAGAGCAUUGACAUGCUAAGUUGUUGAAAUUUCCGUGAUUAGUAAAAAUCAGGAAGAGCCCUAUGAUUGAUGUAAAGAUCAGGAGGAGGUGCGAACUUUAAGGGGAGUCUAGCAUAUACAUGUCACUAUCAAAUGUGAAGGGUGCAUUGUACUUUUUUUCUCCUACGAUCAAGGUUUAGUUUUUCUCCCACAUGGUUUUUGUUCUUUGAGGAGGUUUUUAACGAGACGACAUAUUAGCACCACCGGCAUACCGGCGCGCGGCACAAAGGGGAGUGUUCUAGGAUAUUCCAUAUGUGUGUCUUGGCCUUAUGCCAUCAGGAUAUGUAGUUGGAAUAUGACUAUGUGUUCCUUAUCAUUACCAUAUUGGUAUUUUGUAAUUCCCUAUAUAUGAGGUAUUGUCCCAUAUUCUGAAACACCUAAUAAUAUGUUAGUCAGAUUUGCUGAUGCUGGGUAUCUCUUUGACCACACAAAGGACGUUCUCAAACUGGUUAUGUGUUCACCAUUAGGACUACGACGAUUUCUUGAAGAUCUACCAAGCAAACCCUUGUUGCUACUUCCUCGAAUCAUUCAGAGAUUAUUGCACUACAUGAAGCAGUCAAAGAAUGUGUUUGGCUUUGCUCUGUGGUAGCUCAUAUUUGAGAAAUCUAGUGGGUUGACAUCUACCACUAAAGCACCAACUUGCAUCUAUGAAGACAAUGCGGCAUGCAUUGAACAAAUGAAGUUGGGAUUCAUCAAGGGUGAUAAUAUUAAACAUAUCUCGCCUAAGUUCUUCUACAAUCAGCAACAGCAACAACAACAGCUUUUGAAUAUCCAGGUGAACCAAGUCAGUUCCGAGGAUAAUGUAGCAGAAUUUGUUCACCAAGUAUCUACUCAAAUCUACUCUUGAGAAGCAUGUGCGAAGUAUUGGUAUGCGUCGCUUAUUUGAAUUCCAUGAUUUAUUGAUUAUCAGGGGGAGUUGAUUAUGUAGACAUCAAGGGGAGUCUACGACACAUGUUUUACAUUUCAAGUUGUAGUUGGCGCGUUAUUCUCUUUUUCCCUUCGACCAAGUCUUUUGUUUUUACCUAAGAGGUUUUUUGUUUUAUUUGGCAAGGUUUUUACCGAGGCAACGUUCAUACGUCAUGUGAUUCUGGUACGCAACAUAAGGAAGAGUGUUAAAGGAAUUUACAUUCCUAUCCUUGAUGAUGUGUCUUGACCGAAUCUUCUCCUUAUUAGACUAGAAUAUCUCUUAGAUAUCUAUCCCUGAUUUACAGGGAUUCUCUAUGUAAUGCCUAUAUAAAGGCCAAUCUAUCAAUGAAUGAGUAGACCAUUAUUCUCGUAUUCUCGUAUUCUUUAUCAGGAUCCCUAUUUUUUGUCACUUUUAGGGAUAUGCCAACACCAUUAGAUCUGUUUUUUAAUGGGCUUGGAUAACUGAGAUUAAAACAAAAAACUUAACACUUAUGUCAAACCUACACCGUUCAAGAUCAUUAAAAAUAAAUCAAACAUUUGGUUGAUUUAAUGAUAAACAAAUUUUCUGAAAAUUUGCAUAAAUGAUCUACUCAUAUAGACCUACAAACUGAACGGUGGAGGUGUGAUUUAGUGAACGGAAAGUUUGUCAAAUACCCUAUCCCUAGAANNNNNNNNNNNNNNNNNNNNNNNNNNNNNNNNNNNNNNNNNNNNNNNNNNNNNNNNNNNNNNNNNNNNNNNNNNNNNNNNNNNNNNNNNNNNNNNNNNNNNNNNNNNNNNNNNNNNNNNNNNNNNNNNNNNNNNNNNNNNNNNNNNNNNNNNNNNNNNNNNNNNNNNNNNNNNNNNNNNNNNNNNNNNNNNNNNNUGAUCUACACAAUAUUAUCUAGAUACUGGACGGUGGAGAUGAGGAAAUUCGAUUGGAAAGUGGUGCAAAAAUGGAAAUCUGCACCAAAACCGUUGGUGCGGACGUCCGCAGCCGAGAAGGGUCCGGUUUAAUGGACAUUAAAUUGGACACAAAUUUUGACACUAUUUUUUUAUCUUUAGAUUUUAAAAUAUUCAAGGGUCUAGAUCAAUUUUAAGUUAACACAAAAAUAAUUGAUGUGGCAAGUGACGUGACAUUGCCUAAUUUCAUAACAAAUCAAAUUAAAAGAAAAGAAGGAAAAACCAUAAUUUAAAAUCUAAAAAACAAAAUCUAAUUUUCCAAUACAAUGAAAGAAAAAAAAGACGAUGUUCAUGUCCAGAAUAUAAUAAAAACCCAGAAAAUAAUUUUUUGAACUAAACAAUGUUGUUCUAUUUUCCUCACUAUUAUUGUAGAUCAGAUCCUUUGGUGUCCCGGUCAAUUAUGUAUGUAGUAUUGUAGCUUUUAGUGUAGAUAAACCAUAUAUAACAGGAGGUGCAUGGUUUGACCUAAGGGAUGUUCGAUCAAGGAUUGAUAAGGAACCUUAUAUAUAAUUGACCACUCAACUUCAAACUCUGCUUAAUCCAACAAUUAUUCACCAGGUUUCGUUGCACUCCUGAAAGAUAUGCUUCAUCUCCUAGCCAAUGAAUCUAGAAUCCUGCUAUCGGUGAGCCGUGACGUGGUUGGUUAAGGUGGUUAACUAACAACUUUGAUAUCAUGGGUUCAAACAUCAUUGACAUAUGUAGAGUGUGUGAGUUAUUUAAUAAAAAGUUUAAAAAAAAAAAAAAGAAUCCUGCAAAAAAUGGUUUGUAGCUACUACCCUUAAUACCAACAAUAACGUCUCUAAACCAAGGGGUGAGUGUACUUAAUCCCAUUAUACACAUAGGGUGAUAACUUGUUGAACUUGAAUCUCAGUAGCCAUUCGGUGUGAGCAUGAGAACACAUAUCGAUCUAUUCUCGUCUUUUUUUCUUUCUUUGCGUCUGAGUUCUUUUUAUUGCAAAAUAGGUUGUGUUUUUUAGAUUUUAAAUUCUGAUUUUUCCUACUCUUCUUUUAAUUUGAUUAAUUUGUUAUAAAAUUAGGUAGUGCCACGUCACUUGCCACAUCAAUAAUUUAUGUGUUGACAUCAUAUUUACAAUUGAUCAAGAAAUAUUGUCAAAAUUUAUGUUAAAUUUGAUGUCCCGUGAACCGGACCCAUAUAUAUAUAUUCUUAAAAAGCAACGAGCGGUAACUUUUUUUAAGAAAAUGAAGUUGUUUUAAUGAAUGAAUGCGUGGAUUGUGAAGCAAUAGAGGAGACAGCCGUGAAAUAGUUGCAAGGAUAAAAAUAUUUGUGAGAAGUGUGGCGGGGACAUAGUUGAUAUGGACAAUCAUUCUCAGUAGACGGCUCAUCGAUUUAUACUUUUUAGUAAAAGCUGGAGGACACGGUUGAUAUGGGUAAACAUUCUUAGUAGUCAGUUCAUCAAUCUAUAUUUAUUGAGUAAAACUUAAGGACAAGGUUGAUAUGGACAAACUGUCACAUCCCGACCUUUAUAUUUUUACCUUAUUUACUAGCUUGAUUAUAAUAAGAAUUUUACCGUCUCCGUCAUUCAGUUAAUAGUUUAAUUGGUCCCUAGAGGGGUUUCGGGGACGAUUGUGUGCGGAGGAUUAUUCGUAGGAGGAAUUGCGAUGGCGGUAAAAAUGGUAAAUUUUAGCUAGUAAAAGGUAAUUUUUAUUCGGGUAUUAUUUUUCGGGGUGUUUUAUUUUUAGAGUUGGGUAGUAUAUAGGUGAUGGACCGGGUUGGAUAGGCCCAAACCCAGCCCUCACUUUUCUUUUUCUCCCUCUCUCCCUCCCGGUUUCCACUCCCGAGCUCUCUCCCCUUUUCGCCGGAAACUUCCAGCUGCCAACUGUCGCCGUCCGGCCAGCCACCUACCACCUCUUCACCUCAGUUCGGACCCCCAUCUCCUCCUCUCCCUCCCCGGCCUAGCCCCCGAGCCGUUAGCCCGCCGGAAGAAGAGAAAACUCGCCGGAGACGCCGGGAAGCUUUUCGCCGGAACUCCCUCCUCCGGCCACCAAUCCGGGCAAGCUUGGUACGGUUUUGUAGCCCUCCAACCCAGCAGCCUUGCCCUAAAAGGACUCACUCCCUCUUGAGCUAGGUAAGGAGAAAUUUGAGGUGGAAGUUUUAUAGCGUUUUUGAUGUUUUUAGUCGAUUACCCUAGUUAGGCUUGGAAUUGGUGUUUGUGCUAGUUAAGAAGUUGUAGAGCAUGAUGAGAGGAUUAUUCUGUCAAAAUUUCAUAGGUUUUGGAGGUCGCCGGAAUUGGCCUCCGGCGCCGCCGCGGUUUGGGAGAUUUUUAGGGUUUUAAAUGUGGAAUAUUAAGGGGAUUAUAUUGAUGUGAUUUAUGGAAUUUUUGGAUGAGAUUUGGAUAGGUUUGUGAAUUUCCGAAGUUUGGUAUUUUUGGCGGUUAAUUAAUGUAGAAUCCGGCCAUAGGAUUUAAGUCGUAUUUUUUGGGGAGGUUGUAUUUACGACUGUCGAGGAUGAUAUUUAAGUUCGAAUCGUUCCUAUUUAAGAAUAUCAAAGUUAGGCAAUGAUGACCGUAUUUAUGGCUCUCGGGUAAUUUUGCCUAUUUUGACUAAAUAUUGGAUUAUUAGUUGAGAAAUUAAUAUUAUAUUUGGAACAGGACGUGAGGAGGCUCGAGCAGACGAGGCCCCAGAUCGACAUCAGGCUUAGGCCUAAUUUGUGAGUGGACUUUUGUUUUAAAUAAAAUGCAUGCUAGAGUUCAUGGUUGAACAAUAAUUGUUGCGGAAUAUUUUGACAUCAUUUUAAUUUGACGAAUUUUAUUUCUCUUGGAGAGUUACCGAAAAUGGGAUUUUCGGUGGAUAUAAAUAUGUAUUUAUGAGAGAGUAUGUAUAUUAAAGCUAGCUAGCCAUAUGUGUCUGUCCACCUUAAUGGCGUAGCAUAUAGCCGCAUUAUGGUGUGACGUGAGCGUUGGACGUGAGCGUAGUAGCCCUAUUUGAGUGUUUAAUUCAUAUAGGGGGUAUGGACACAUAUUUAUACACCCGUAUGUCCACCUUAAUGGCGUAGUGUAGCACCUCAUUAAGGCGUGACGUGAGCGUUGGACGCGAGCGUAGUAGCCCUAUAUAGACCCAUGAAUUUAUAUAGGGAGUAUGGACGAGUGUAAAUACAUACAUAUAUUAUAGAGUCUGAGAGGCUCGAUAUUUUAUGAGAUAAAAGUUUUAUCGCUUGCGGCAUGCAUUCGAUUUUUCCUUAGAAAUUAAUUUGGGGAAACAUAAAUAUUUUAUUUAUUAUUUUAUUUUUGUCCACUCACUCUAACGUUAUUAAAUGUUUUCCCCUGAGCCCUUCGUUUUAAAUUGCCCAGUCUGCAGAGUUCGGGUUGGAUCUAGUAGGAGGCGAGGCAUAGUCACCCGCAUUUCCACCAGUUUUCAUCAGUAGGUUACAUGUUUAACCUACUCGUGUUUUCUUGUUUCCGCUAGUGUCUAGUAGCUUUGAAUACUUUGAAAUUAUUGUAUAUUAUGUUUAGAAUUUCUGAAGGAUAAUUAUGUGAUGUUUGGAUGUGUUGUAUUAAGAGUGUAAUUUGGAAUUUUCGAGUUAGGGUUGUCCAUUUUCAAGGGAGAUUUUCUCAAUCUUUUCAGUAAAUUUUUCUUGGAGGUGGUCUCCGCACGACUUACUCCGGGUUUCAGGGUGAAAUUCGGGGUGGGUCGUGUCACAAACAUCCUCAGUAGACAAUCUAUCAGUUUACAGUCAUACUUGAUAAGAUUAAUAGAUAUUUUACGAUUAUAUUUUCAAGUGCCUUUAUGCACAAUGUCAAAGAAUCUCUCAUAAAUACUGAUUAUUUGCCGUCCUUCAACAUUGUGCUUAACAAAUCCAUUAUGAAUGAAAAAGCACUACAUAAUUAAUGUGUCUUGAACUAAAUGUUAUAUAGGGAAUAUCUUAAUAGAACAAGAACUUAGAGAAAAUUUAAAAUGCACAUGCAACAACUUCUUAGGUGUGUACUCUUUGUUAUAAUGUGUUAGAUGUACGGAUUUUAGUUGCAAUAAACUCCAAGUUGGAUGUUUAAAGCAAUAUAAUGUGUUAGAUGUACGGAUUGUCUUGAUUUCUUAUACAUUUUUGUAGUCACAACAAUGAAGUCAACCAAUUCAUCGUCCAAUCAAUGAUCUUGAAAAUAGACGAUAUGCACUUUUGAAUUGGAAUAACUAUGUUGAAGAUGAAGUGAUGGUUGAAUGAAGAAUAGGCUCAACGAAACCAAGUACAAAAGCUCAUUGUGUGCCUCUUGGACGAGAGUGUUGGAAAGUAUAGGUUGAUGUGGUGUUUGAUGAGUAUCAACACACGGAGGUGUAUAGAGCAAUUAUGGAUGCCACACAACUUAGGAUAGUUGUUGGAAGCUCUCUUGCAUGGCCCAAAAGCUCCAUGAAGUUGCUUUUUUAGUAGUCAAAAUAGAAUGUGCAUUAAACAUUCCUCUUUCUAAAUUAUUAAGUUGCUUAAGUUACUUCAUAAAAUAUAUAUAGUGAAAAUUUGAAAAACAGUACAAGAACUUUGAGAGACUCUUAAAAUUAGUACAUUUUGUAUCAUUCUUUUCAACAUUGUACACGAUGUUUGAAACGCAACUCACCUUUCAUAUAUAUACUGUUAUAGGAAAUGCCUACAGUCCAUUCAUGAUCUAAAACAAUUUCUUCAUGCUCAAUUUUGCAUUAAGGACCUUGGUGAUUUAAAGUUUUUUUAGGAAUUGAGAUAGCUCGUUCAAAGAAAGGUGAUUUAAGACGCGACUCAUCUUUCAUACAUACUGUUACAAGCAAAUGCCUACAGUCCAUUCAUGAUCUAAAACAGUUUCUAUUUAAAGUCAUAGUUAGUUAUAAUCAGAUUUGUUAUAUGCAUACUCUACAUUCUAUUUUUUAAUGUCUUAAACAUGAACAAAGAAACCAACAAAUUGGAAAUUCCAGACCUUGAUUUAUCGCAUAAAACAUUUGUCUUUUAGAGACAGCUAAUAAAUGCACACAGUUUCAAAGCAACUAAGAUACUUACUAUCAAUUUCAAUCGCCACACAACUUGCAGCACGUUCAGAGUGGAGGCUAGAAACCCACCAAAAGCAUGUGGUAUCACUGUGACAAUGGCCAAUACUGCUAUCACAGGCACUAAGGCCAUGAGCAAUAGACUUAACAUCCCAUUCUGCAUAUCACUGUGACAAUGGCCAAUACUGUUUUGUUCUUUCUCUCUUUUGAGACACAAAUUUUUGUCAAAAUCAUCCACCACUAGAAGAGAGAAAGAACAAAACUAGUCACCAUGUGAUAAAAUCACCAAGUUAGGCCACCAAUCAAAUUUAGAUAUUUGUCCAUUCAUAAAUCUGAUCAUCCUCCAGUUUUGCUUUAGAGACAUUCUUAGCUUUGAUUGUACCCAUGUCCCUUGACUAACAUGUUCUGAUCUUUAACAAAAGAAAAAGAAAUCCAAUAAUCUUGUUUAGAACCAUAAGCUACUUAUAUGAAGAGAACACGAAGACGAAAAGUUAGACUUCGAAAUAUUUGAAUUUCUCCAAUUGCAAGAACAAUUACUACCCUUCUAAUGCAGUAAUAUUCUUAUGGUUUAUUUGUUGCGAAAAAUAAUAUAAUGGAAGUAACUAUUCAAAUCAUACAAAGGAUAAAUAUGCAAAGAUGUAAAAGAGUAGACGAAAGAGAACACCAGAUAUAACGUGGUUCGGCGAUGUGCCUACGUCCACGGGGCAACAACAACAAGAACUUUCACUGUGAAAUAAUGGGUACACAAGAGAUGACACUUUCCGUUGAAUCUUGUUCUAGAUCUACUCACACUCCUUCCACGGCCUCUGGGUCCUCUACUCUUGCUCCUAACUUUGUUCUUUGCCACAAAGACUUGGCUAUUGUCGGAGCUUGAGGAUUUUCUCCUUGUCUCUUCAUUCAAUAUGUUAUUUUUAACAUUAUCCAUAGUCAAUUUACCAUCAAGAGCAGAGUUACUUACAAUGAUGACAAAGGUCUCCGAACUGUCCGGCAACGACCCCAACAACAACAAUGCUUGUAAUUCAUCAUCGAUCGUCAUCCCCAUGGUCGUCAAUUGAUUAAAAGUACUUUGGAAGUUGUUUAGAUGCUCGGUGACCCUCACGCCUUCACAAUACUUCAUGUCGACAAGCUUUUUAAUUAGAAAGGUUUUCUUGGUGGCGGUCUUUUUCUCGAACAAAGACUCCAACUUCGUCCAUAACUCAUGCGCAUUCGUUUCGUUGGCCACAUGGUGGAAUACGCUAUCGUCCACCCACUCUCGAAUAUGACCGAUCGCCUUGCGGUUCAUCUUCGUCCAAUUAGCAUCCGAAGUCCCUUCCGGCUUAGCCUCAACUCCUUUGAUGGGCUCAUGCAAAUCUUUGCAAUAAAGUAUGUCCUCCAUUCGGGGUUUCCAUGUAAUCCAAUUUGAGUGGUUGAGUCGAACCAUGAUACUCCGUGAACCUUCAAUUUUAAUGCAUACGCCCUACGAACCAAGCCCUACGAACCAAGGGUUUUAAUACAACUGUUGGGAAAAAUAAUAUAAUGGAAGUAACUACUCAAACCACACAAAGGAUAAAUAUGCAAAGAUGUAAAAGAGUAUAGGAAAGGGAACACCGGAUAUAACGUGGUUCGGUGACAUCUCUACAUCCACAGGGCAGCAACAACAAGAACUUCCACUAUGAAAUAAUGAGUACACAAGAGAUAAACAACUUCAAAAACACUACUUGAAGGAAACCCUCUCUCUCACUUGUUUUGCUACAAACUACAACACUCUUAACUUGGAGUGUACACUCUUCUCAACUUGGAAGAUGAUGUUUCUCUCUCGGAUGAGAUGCUUGAGAUUGAUAAGAUGCUUGAAAUGAGCAAAUGACCUCUCCUUUUAUAGGCUAAGGAGGAACUAUCUAGAGCUCUCAUUAGUGCUCUUCCAAUAAAUUGUGUUUCAUGAAUCUUCCUGUAACUCAUGCCUUGACCAUAACUCCAAAACCAUCCACCUUCUUUGUGUAACUCAAAUGUCACUAACUCCAACCUUGUGUAACUCAUGAAACUUAUGUUACUCAUGAAACCUUUCAUAUUAUUUUCAUUUUGAUGAAGGAUUAAUGGUAGAGACAAAGAGAUAGCAAGAGAAUCAUCAUCUUAUUCAUUGAUAGGAGCCCUUUAUAUAGGGAAUUACACAAUACCAAUAUGGUAAGGAUAUGAAUACAUAGAUCUAGUCUAACUACAUAUCCUAUUGGCAUAAGGCCAAGGCACACAUAGAGAAUAUCUUAGAACAAUCUCCCUUGUGCCGCGCGCUGAUAUGCCGAUGGUGCUGAUCUGUUGCCUCGUCAAAAACCUAGUCAAGUCACAAAAACCCUGUGGGAGAAAAACUGAACCUUGAUCGUAGGAGAAAAAGAGUACAACGCACCUUUCACAUUUGAUAGUGACAUGUAUGUAUGUGCUAGACUCCCCCUGAAGUUCGCACCCCCCUGAUCUUUACAUCAAUCAUAGGGCUCUUCCUGAUUCUUACUAAUCACGGAAGUUUCAACAACNNNNNNNNNNNNNNNNNNNNUAGGCCUCACUAGUUAUAGAGCGCCUAAGCCGAUUGAUGAAAAUCAUCAUCAAUACAGUCAUCGAGUGCCUUAUCGAGACCAUGUCUUCCAAGAUCUUUUCUUCGGAUGUUGAUACAUAUUGGCAUCUCUUGAUCCAUCAAGAGUCCAUGUAAAUCCGGAAUGAACACGGAAAGGCAUAAUUCACCAUAUCCCUUCCAAAUCAAGUAGAGUCCAUGUGCGUUUCAAUACAUUUAGCAAAUGCAUGCUCCUGUGGUUUGGAGCCACUUGAUUCGGAUAUAUGAAGUCCGUUUAAGAUCUUCAUGUAUAUCUCUGAUCCCAUAGAGAUGUUAUUAUGACCACAUUCAUAGGCUGCUUGUUCAGUUAUUCGGAAACUACCAAACUGACAAAGUAGUGGAGUUCAAUGACAUCCAUUACGAGAGCAUAUCUCAUCGUAGUUGAUCCCAGUGCGUGUUAGUGAAAGACCUUGCGCCAUAAGGUGAGUCUAAGCUCUCACUACGCUAUCUAACAAAUGCAUAGUUGAUAGGGUUUAGCUUGCGGUGUCGGCAUCACCUGCACAAGGACCUAUCUCUUUGUUAAUGCUGGAUCGCAUCUUUCCAUUAGGCCAAUCAACUAAGUUGAUAUCCAUCAACAAAGGGUGGUUCGAUAGUAGACUCAUUAUCUCACGUCCUCAUGUACACUAGUGUAAUACUUGUAGAGAUCUCUAUAUGGAUUAGAUUUGACAUUGAGGCGUCCCCCAACGAUAAUCACAAUUCAGACUUCAUGAGACGGAUUUGAGUAUCACUGAUCAAUGGAUCAGGUUGUGCCAAGCUCGCUUUCUUUCUAGUGCAAGACAAUAUCGAACCUAAGGGCCUCCCUUUUUUUGGGGAGCCACACGGCCUUGUGACACCAAUUUUGCCACUAUAUGGCGUCACCAUAUCACCAUCCAUGGUGAUGGCGUCAAGACCAACACUUUUUGGUGGCGCCAUGUCCUUUUGUAGGACAUCAAUCCUUGCAGACAUAUUUGCAACAUGUGAUCUCGUCACUUUAACACUAUAAGCAUUUGGGAUCAAGAUGAGACUUAGUGGGGACAAACCACGACAAUUCACGUCGUUCCACUUGAACACUUGUGUUCUUAUCUCCCCCUAACGGCGGGAAUAUUGUCUCAUCAAAGUGACAAUCCUCAAUUUAGCGGUGAAUGAGAUCGCCUGACAAGGUUCCUACAUAUGCGGAUUAUAGGUGGAGGUUCAUAUCCAACCUAAACUUAUUCAUCUCAAAUGAUUCAUCAUUGUACGCAAUGGCAAUGCGAUUUGACACCUAGAAAUAACAUCUAGCCGAGCUCAAGGAUUGGAGAUCCGUUUCAAUCCUACCGAGCUCAAGGAUUGCAAUUUCGUGUCAAUCCUGGUACACAGUCACGAGCUGUAGUACAACAAAAUUCAAUGAUGGUGGGUCGUAGAUGAAUAGUAAAGCUGCAUGCAAACAUUGCAUAGCCCCAAGACGCAAUAGAAAGAGUGGUGCGCAUUAAUAAUGUUCGAGCGACAAGCUAAAGUUGCUUGGUCGUAGCCUCGGUGAGACCGUAUUGCGUGUGAACAUGGGGUACAGGACACUUCAACUUACAUCCCGAUGAACUUCUUUAAAGAAUGGGUAGUGAGCCCGUAGACGUAUAAGCAGUAUAAGCAGUAGAUAAUAGUGUAACACGUGACCAGUGUGUUAACACGUCAACCAACACCAUAAAGCAUAAAAAGGUGUCCGCAAGUUGGUUGUAUCUAUCUACAUAGUUUGAUGUAAGAAUAAAAUGUUGACUUUUGUGUUAUUUAGUGUAGGAGGGUCUCACUCCUUAUUUAGCUAAAGAAUAGGCUUUCAAAACGAGCAAUGAGCAUUGCAGGGGGCCAAUGCGACAUCAAGGAAAGGCCGGUACACCUCAAUUGCUUGAGGAAUUGACCGGACGACCUCCAGGAAGUUGGAGUCGUGUUCGGGUGACGUCAAUGUCCCCUGGGUCACCACCAUGCUUCAUGGUGAUGCUAGAUCUCGAAUGUCUUCGUUUUGAGCGGAAGAAUGGAUGUCCAUGAGAAUUUCUCAAAAUUUGGACCAUUAUAUCUCUUCCAGGUUGACCAAUUUGGUCAAACCAAAGCCUAUAUGAGUCGGUGUCCCAAAUAUCAUGUUUGGCGAACAUGGGAUUCGAUAUUCGAAUCGUAGUGACAUACAGUUCACUAGAUUGACUCAUGAAUUUCUCCAAGAUGCGCUUCAGUUCGCAUUCAUGAGGAGGUAUACACAAAAGAAUUCUUGUUCAUUCUCACAAUGUGUUUUCAAAUGAAAACCAUUAGCAUGAAUGUACUUUAAAGCU